CCUACGGGGGGCAGCAGUGGGGAAUAUUGGACAAUGGGGGCAACCCUGAUCCAGCCAUGCCGCGUGUGUGAAGAAGGCCCUCGGGUUGUAAAGCACUUUCAGUGAGGAAGAACGCCUGGUGGUUAAUACCCAUCAGGAAAGACAUCACUCACAGAAGAAGCACCGGCUAACUCCGUGCCAGCAGCCGCGGUAAUACGGAGGGUGCGAGCGUUAAUCGGAAUUACUGGGCGUAAAGCGCGCGUAGGUGGCUUGAUAAGCCGGUUGUGAAAGCCCCGGGCUCAACCUGGGAACGGCAUCCGGAACUGUCAAGCUAGAGUACAGGAGAGGAAGGUAGAAUUCCCGGUGUAGCGGUGAAAUGCGUAGAGAUCGGGAGGAAUACCAGUGGCGAAGGCGGCCUUCUGGACUGACACUGACACUGAGGUGCGAAAGCGUGGGUAGCAAACAGGAUUAGAUACCCCAGUAGUC
rnacentral:rRNA from 1 species